AAUCAUGAUUUCUGAGUGAAAUUCAGUUAAGCUGAAAAUCUUUGAGGGAACAUCUACAUCAAAGUAAUGGCAUUCUAUACAAAUAAAAAUCAAAUGGGAUCAAGUUCUUAGCAGUCCCAGCCUAGUCAGAAUUACAAAGUCAACUACAAUUUGCACAUCACCAAGAGUAACAAUCUGAUGAGGAAUAGGAUAUCUGAACUGAAAACUUGCAAGGUUUCGCAGGCUGUUUGAGUACCACCAGGGCAGAUUAAGAAGAAAUAUGGAGGCCAAGUUCAUAACAAGUAGUUACUUAAUCAAAAUUACACAUUUUAAAAAUUGAAUGAAUUUGAAUAUUGUCAAUACAAUUGCUUGAACUAGACAUCUGUAGAAAAAAAUAACAUUGGAGUAUAAAUAUUUAGGUCCAUAGAUUUCACACAAGAUUAAAAUAUUUCCCCAAAGGGCACACCUUUUUCACCCAUUAUUAAUGUUCUAAUCAUCUACAUGUAGUACUUAUAGUAGUGAAAGAACUUUUAAUGCUAUUAGUAGUUUGAAAGGGAUAGUUUGUAUUCUGGUAAUAAAAUCAAUUCAGAAUGGGUUUUUACUAAGGUCUGGACUAUGUAACAUACAUGCCUACAAACAUACAUAAGACAAUAAGAAAUAAUGGAUUUUCAUUGAAAUAUGUGCAUUAAAAAAAAACAAGGUGACAGAACAAAGGAUUAAGAAAUCACUCUCAUUCCUGGACCCCAUUUCAUUAAGACUAACCACUAUAUUCUAACUUUGCCAUUCUGGUAAUUACCGUGGAAACAUUAAAGCAACGGAUCAACAGUGAGUUUUCCAUGCUAGUUGCUAGUUACAAUUGGGGCAAAUUUACCAUAAUUGAAGUCUUUAUGAAACAAGGACCUGUAGUGCUGGACAUUAAACUGUUGAAUUUAUUUUUUUGGGAAGUGAAUACCUAUGAAAGUGAAUAUACGUACUCAUUUUUUUUUUCGAUUUUUUUUUUUUCUCUAGAUUUUACCUUAAAAAAUACACCCCCUCCCUUAUAACAGCCUUGCAAUUUCUGUUGCAUUCAUUAAUGUUUUUUGCUGGUGUAAU